AUUGAACGCUGGCGGCAUGCCUUACACAUGCAAGUCGAACGGUAACAGGUCUUCGGAUGCUGACGAGUGGCGAACGGGUGAGUAAUGCAUCGGAACGUGCCCAGGAGUGGGGGAUAGCCCGGCGAAAGCCGGAUUAAUACCGCAUACGACCAGAGGGUGAAAGGGGGGGCUCGCAAGACCUCUCCCUAUUGGAGCGGCCGAUGUCAGAUUAGCUAGUUGGUUGGGUAAAGGCCUACCAAGGCAACGAUCUGUCGUUGGUCUGAGAGGACGACCAGCCACACUGGGACUGAGACGCGGCCCAGACUCCUACGGGAGGCAGCAGUGGGGAAUUUUGGACAAUGGGCGCAAGCCUGAUCCAGCAAUGCCGCGUGCAGGAAGAAGGCCUUCGGGUUGUAAACUGCUUUUGUCAGGGAAGAAAUCUUCUGGGUUAAUACCUCGGGAGGAUGACGGUACCUGAAGAAUAAGCACCGGCUAACUACGUGCCAGCAGCCGCCGUAACAC
rnacentral:rRNA from 1 species